rnacentral:lncRNA from 1 species
ACUAAGGUCACUCAAAAUAGGUGGGAAUAAAUUGGAAGGGAAGCUGUCGAGAUCAUUAGCCAAUUGCACAGCACUUGAGGUUCUGGACCUUGGAAAUAAUAUGGUUCAUGAUACAUUCCCAUUUUGGUUAGAGAAGCUACCUUCCUUGAAGGUUCUCAUUUUGCGAGCAAACAGAUUCUACGGCACAAUUACAGAAUUCAACACAGAACGUGGGUUUCCAAAGCUACGCAUUUUGGACAUUGGUUCCAACAAAUUUUCAGGCGACUUGUCCGUUGAAUUUUUGCAAAGCUUGAAGGCAAUGAUGCAGAUAACAAAUGAGGAUAAAGCUAAGCGGGUUUACAUUGGGGACGACUAUUAUCAAGACUCUGUGACAAUUGUUAACAGAGGGAUUGAAAUGUUCUACCAAAGAGUCUUGACAAUUCUUACUUGUCUUGACCUUUCCAACAAUAGUUUCCAUGGGAGAAUACCAGAAGAAAUACAAAUGCUGAGGUCACUCAGAGUGAUGAACUUAUCCAACAAUGGCUUCUCUAGUGAAAUCCCAUUAGCACUUCAAAAUCUAAAAGACCUCGAAUCUUUGGAUCUCUCAAGAAACAAGCUGUCAGGGAAGAUUCCUCCACAACUUACAAGUCUAACUUUCCUGGCAGCAUUGAACUUGUCAUACAACCAACUUGAAGGGAGCAUACCACAAAGCAACCAAUUCAUUACAUUUACAAAUGAUUCCUACCGUGGGAACCCAAAAUUGUGUGGGCUGCCAUUGUCAAGGAAAUGCAAUGAAGUUGGUCUUCCAAUGCCACCACCUCCAGUGGAAGAUGAAGAUUCAUGGUUAAAUGCUCUGUCUACUUGGAAAAUUGCAUUGAUAGGUUAUGCUAGCGGAUUAGUCGUUGGGCUAUGUAUUGGAUAUACAGUGCUGAAUGAGUUGGGAAACAAAUGGGUUUACAAGUUCAAGUGUGGGAAAAGAAAUAGAAGAAGAUGUAGGUGACUCCAUCAGAAUUCUUGCUUCAAAAUUAGCUGGUAAGCAUUUGUCUUUCUACUUUGAACUGAUAGUUGUUGAUAUAUAUAUAUAUAGGUUUUCAUAACCUCAUUUUUUGCUGUCAUUACCAAGUUCACUAUCAUAUCGUACUUGUAAUUUUAUGUUACCAUUGAGCAAUGCAGGAGGUACUUGAAGCAGGACAUGGAAUGUACAGUUGUGAGGUUCAUGAAGAAUGUAGGCAAUGAUCCUAACAAGAUCAAUCCACUGGUUUGUAAUUUUGCUUUAUAUGCACUUUUUUCCUGUUGUAGUUUUCUAUGAGUAUAAAUAAGUGUUUAUUCAUUUUGCAUCCAGGUCCCUGUGGAUUUGGGGGAUGCAAUGUUUCACUGCUACUGAAUUUCCAAGCUAAUAAUGAUAUUAUAAACAGGGAAAUGGCUGCCCAAGCUUUCUUUUAUAUGCAAUUUACUUCAAUUUUUUUAUCUUUAGAAUAUUUGUACAGCUGAGGAGAUUUGAUGGCAUGAUGUUGAUGAAAGCCAUAUCUGAUGGACAUUGGACUGAUUGUGUAAAGAGACGCAGAUGCUGCUACUCCCAUCCUUUGCUCUUCCAAACAGACGUGAGUUUUAUAUUUUAUGAAUCACGUGUUGGGCUUUAGGACCGGGUGUAAAGGGUGGACCUGUUGGUCCGGGUUUUAGUUCAGCCCGUCACUUAUUUUUAUACUAGUUUAUUUAUACUUUCAAUGAUAGUUUUAUUAAUUUAAAAAAUAUGGUUGAAUUAAGUAAUAAUAUGAUAAAAUAAUAAUAAUUAAAAUUUAAUGAAAUAAAUUAUGUCUUAACUUUCCAAUGUUAGCGAAAGGCCAACAAUAUCUCACCUUAUUAUUUUCUUUGUUAAUCCAAAAUUAAAAAGUUCAAAUUAGAAUGUGAUUUAGAGUUUGAAGACUUAAUUAAAUUUUUUUGAAGUUUAGAGUUCAAUUUAACAUAUAAUCCAUAGUUUAGGGACAUCAAGUGAAUUAACCCUUUGAUAAAUCCUAACAUAUUCAUAAGUUGCAUACUCAUUAAUAAAUUAGGACUAAAAUGCUUAUUGGUAAAUUGAUUUCACAUAUAAGUUAAUAUAUUUUUGGGUGCUAUACCAAAGUUUAAUUAAAAGAUUUUAAUGGUACACUUUUACAUUUUAAAAAUUUAAAUUAUAUAUAAACAAUUAUGAUAUAAAAUCGAGACGGCCCACAUCUAAAAUAUUUUAAGCAUCAAAUACAUGAAAAAAAAAAUUCUAAACCCAAAUAUUUUAAGCAUUCGAAACAUUGGCAUUGGCAUCAAUUAGAACACUUGGAUUGGAUAAUGAAAAAAAAAAAAUCCAAACCCAUCUAUUUAACAACGGUAUGUUUAUUAUAUGAUUUUCAAUACAAAAUCAGAUAAUUAAUCGGACACUGUUGAGUUAACUAAUACUUACAAUGUUCAAUUAAAUGAUUUUUUCCAAAAAAAAUUAAUUGUUUAUAUUUCGAAUCCAAUUCAACCAAUAAAAAGCCAGUUAUAUUUGAAUGCGAAUGCAAAGCAGUGGAUAUAACGUAAGGGACUCAAUCCAAUUUGGCAUUCUAAAUGAUGUCUUAAUUACAAUGUGGUACGCUUUCCAGAGUUGGCAAACAACCUAAAGCACUUGUUUAAUUUAUCUUUGAAAAGUGAUAAAAAUAUUAAUAACUAAAAUUAAAAAACUGCAAGAACCAUUAUCUUUCACAAAUUAUUCAAAAUCAUAUGGUAUUUGUAGUCGUUGGCUUAUAUUUUGAAAAGAUUGAUGUUACAAACUAACUCUGAAUUUCCUAAGCUUAUUUUUUGUCCCUUGACACACUUCGCUAUCAUAUGGUAUUUGUAGUCGUAGGCUUGUAGCAUUGACAUUCAUUUUAUCAUUUCGCAAUGCAAGAGGUACUGAAACAGGCUAAGCUGAAACGGCUCAUUAGGUUUGCUACUCCAAAAGACUCUUCGAAAAGAGCAAUGAAAGAAGCGACAAAAGGGUCCUUGGCUGUUUGUGAUGAUGCACUUACAUAUACUCACUUCUAUACGAUUCAUGUAAAUCCUUUCUAUAACUUAUUUCCUAGGAAGCAUUCCUCUAUUAGAGCAACUAAUCCAUAAUUCUUAAAUCCAGAUACUGUAAUUGGUUUUUUUUUUUUUUCUCUCGAUUUUGUAGCAGGGGCCAAACUCCCCAAUGUCUUGGCUACCAAUCUUCUUUAAUUUAAUCGAACUCAUUUAUGGUAAGGAUGAGUUUUGGAAUGCUCUAUGAAUAUUGUGAGUUGAACAUGAGCAGCAUACUUGAUAUGCAAAAUCUAAUAUCAAGAAUCUCCCUUGUGAGGUUCAUUUUUGCUUCAAUUCACAGCCAUUUGGGGUACGUAAUUUGUCUCUAGCACUGAACUUUCAUGCCAAAUAAUGCUAUAUUAUAAACAAGGAUCAUGGCUUUUCCAAGCCUUCUUUAAUAUGAAUUUACUCUUUAGUUCAGAAUUUUAUUUUCAAAUUAUUUUUGUGCAGCUUGGAAGAUAAUAUGACGAGUUGAUGUUGAUGAAAGCCACAUUUAACACCGUGAUUCUGCAAAGAGACACCACUGCUAGAUGUGCCUCUUUGAAACAGGACAAGCUCAAGCAAAGAUCGUUAACUUUAUCUUUGAAAACAAUGGUAAAAGUUUCUAACUAAUUAUCUUUUCCUUGACAUCUUCUUUAAUCAUGCUUGAAUUAAGUUUAAGCAUAUGAAAGACAUGAUUGUUGGUAGAUAAAUGAGAAGCUUCAUGUUCUAAUUUUCAGGCUAAUGGUCUAAGAAGACAGUAAGGCGUGUUGAUUGCAGUUUGUUAUCUAUUCUAUGGAAAAGAAAACGUGCAUUGCCAACAUAAAGUACAGAAAGGAUAUGCAUAAGGUGCAAAGGCUUAUCACCGAAGCAAGUCUACAGCUUGUUUAAGGCGGCUCAUGUUCUCUUACAUGUAAUUUGCAUGAAAUCUUAUUAUCUUAGGAUUAUACUGGAGUGCCACCAGCAGUUGACCUCACUAGCAUGUGAGACACUGUUAAGAAUCUUGACAAUGAUCUUAACAAGAUUAUUCCACUAGUUUGUAAUUUUCCCUCUAUAUUUUACCAGUAGUAUAUAACUUAUUUACUUCUAUAUCUUGCAAUUUAUGCAGCCCCCGAGCAUGGUAUAGCUUGGUGUUGGUAGAUUCACAUUGUCCAAGAACUUACAAGAUGUUGAGAAAGCAUAGUGUUGGCAAAAUUUUUGAGUUUUAUGGUUAAGUCUAUGAUCAUAAAUCUUAAGAAUAGAAUGAUUUUACUAUAAAAAAUUUCAGGUUUAUAGGACUUUAUCAUCAAUGUAACUAUUUUUAAUGUGGUUAUAGGAGAGGGUGUGGCUGAAUUAUCAUUAGCUAAUCAUGGUCGAGCCAUAGUUGCAGACAUGGGACCUGAAUAAUGUGCAACCAUGGGUUGUCUUUCCUGUGGAUCAUACAGCCUUGCAAUUCCUUAAUUUAACCAGCAGGAGUGGUGACACAGUUCAUUCUCCGUCCAUUUUAUGCGUGGUGAUGACUCCAACAAGGUUUUAUGUUAUUAUUGCUACUAUUUUGUCUUUUUAAUAAUUUAGAUAUAAGAACAUUUUCAUAUAUAUAUAGAAUAAGGAUGAGACAGAAGGACUAAAAUACUGGCAUCAAUAACAACACUAAGACCAAUAAAAUCUCAUAUUUCAAAAUUAGAAUUGAAAAAAAAUAUAAAAGAUUGAAGAUGCAAAGCAAAUAAAUUAAGUGUGAAUUGAAAACCUUAAUGCUAAGACUAAGAAUAAAUAAUUCAUCCCUUAAGACUAAUAGCUUCAUCAUCAUCCUUUGCUGCGAUAUGACUCUGGCUUGAAUUUAAAGAAGCAAAUAUGAAGUACUCAUCAUGCGAGAGAAAAUUACUUAGCUAAGAGAAGAAAUCAUUUACUUCAACCAAACUAUCCCCGGUAGAAAUAAAAGCCAAAAGAAUUAGAUUCAUUCAAAACAAAAAAUUGUAGGGAUUAGUUUUAUAAUUUUACUUAAAUUUUCAUUUCAUCAGGAGGACGUGGGUUCGAAUAUGUUGAAGUGCAUUAUGCUCCUAUUUAUGGGUUGGGGAGAGACUAAGCGUAGUUUUAGGCAUUGUAUCAAAAAAAAAAGAUUUGAUCAGAACCUAUAAUGUGAAAAGUUGUUACUAAAAAGUUUAAAAAAUAGAAUUUUUAGUUUCCUUUUGUUUAUUUAUUAUUUUUUUCAUAAUAUCUUUUAUCUAUAUUUGAAGUGUUUUGGGUUUAAUUUUUAAUCAUUAUAAUCAAAAACCCAAUUUUGUACUAAUAAAGCACACCAUUGUUAGUUUUUAGUGUUAUUUUUGAGGUAUUAUAUAUUUGUAUUUGACCUAUGUUUAUAAUGGUGAUCAGACCCGUUUUUAAUAUUUUUGAGACCCUAGGCGAAACAAUAAAUCGGGGUCUUGUUUAAAAAAUUAUUAAAUGUAAUACAAAAAAAUGAACCUUUUUUAUUUUAUAUUUUUUCUGCCUGCAAUAAAUCAAAAGACUAAAAAAGUUAAAAAAAUUUCACGUUAAAAAUUAAAAAAAGAAACUUUUUGCCCUAAAGUUGGGCUGACGGAGACUAGAAAACAACCCAACAAAUUCCAAUAAAAUCUCAUACUACAAAAUUGGAAUUAACAAAUGGAAAAACAAAAAGACAUUGGUAAAGCAAAAUAAGUGUGAAACAUGAACAAAUUGACAUGAAGACUAAGAAGAGAGUAUGAAAAAUUUUAAAAUUGUAAUUUAGGAUGACUUUAAAAUAUGGGGAAGAUUCAUGAAAAUUAAAUGGGCCUGAAAUCAAUGAUUUUGCAGUUUCUCUUUGUUGAUUUGGUGGAUGUUUCCCACUACUUUUAAUGGUUCCAAUUAUAUACUUGGAAAUUGGAAUUACUUUUGCCACUCAUUUCUCAUGUUGGUUUGGCCAAUAAAAGAUUAUUUGCAUAAAGCAACAAUGCGGCAAUAGGCUGCAAUAUUUCCACAUGCCUCUCAAACUUUUUACUCCAAUUUUAAGGAUUUUUUUUAUUUUUUAAAAAUUAACAUAUUUUUCUACCUUUCUUCUUUCUCUUCUCAUCCUCUCUUUCUCAAUCUCACCUCCCCAAAAAAUGCAAAAUAAAAAAAAUUAUUUUAAUUUUUAAAAAAUAUAAAUUUUGGAAUUUUUAUGAAUUUUUUGAAUUUUUUGAAAAGUAUUUUAAAUUAUUUUGUAAUUUUUGUUGAGAGAUAUCAAUUUGUUAAAUUUUAAAAUUGACAAUGACCAAAGGAGCAUGUACACCAAUUUAUUGUAUGAAUUGUUCGGGUUAUUUAAAUUAUAAAAUUCAACUCGAAAAUCAAAUUAUAAAUAUUUUUAAUAUUAUAAAACAUAAAAAUAUUAAGAUUAAAUAAUAAUAUAGAAAAGGAAUUUUUUUUCUCCAAAUUUCUCAUCCAAAUACAGUCUAAGAAAGCUUGAAAGCUGAAAUUUAAAAAUAUUAUUAUCUUAACUCGAUUUAAAAUUUUUUUGAGUCAAGUCGAGUGCAAAGAAAUUAGAGUUGAAUUGAAUCGAGUGAAAUUGUUUGAGUUAAACUAAAAAUUUUAAUAUGUCAAAUUGAAAUAUUUUUAUGGUAUAAUUAAUUUUAUGUUAGAGCACAUAAAUUUGAAACCAUAUAUAUAUAUUUGAAAACUUUUGUUGAAAAUUUUUAAUAAUAUAAACUCGAAACUUGAAUUAUAAAAAUAUUUAAUAAUAUAAAACAUAAAAAAUAUUAAAAUUAAAUAAUAAUAUAGAAAUAAAAAUUUUUCUUCAAAUUUCUCAUCCAAAUACAGUCUAGAAAAGUUUUAAAGAUGAAAUUUAAAUAUGUUUGUUUCAAAAGUGGAAAAUUCUAUAUAUUGAAUCAUCAAAAUUUUCACUUAUUGUGUUCAUCAAUCCAGCGAAGACUUAACUUGUACACAUUUCUUUGAUAAAUUAUAACUUAUUUACAAAUUCGAUACUCAUUAACAAAUUGAUAUUAUAUUUUAAGUUAAAUUAUUUUAAAUUAUUUUGUAAUUUUUGUUGAGAGAUAUCAAUUUGUUAAUUUUUAAAAUUAAUAGGGACUAAAGGAGUAUGUAUAUCAAUUUGUUGUUUGAAUUAUUUGUGUUUUUCAUCAUAAAAUUCAACUCGAAACUGGAAUUGUAAACAUAAAGAGAGCCUAAGCCUAAGGUCAUGCAAUCUUACUGAAUUUCCAGAAUUCAUUAAAAGGCAACCCAAGUUGGUUGACUUAGAUCUUUCUAAUAACCAUAUCCAUGGUUUUGUGCCCAAUUGGUUGUGGAAGAGCAGUCUUUCAUGGGUAGACCUUUCUUUCAAUGUGAUUGAUUUUCCAAAACAGCUUCCCUUAAAUGAUGCAAACUUCUCAUUUCCAAUGUUGGCAGACUUGGAUUUGAGAUCCUGCAACAUAAGUGCGUUUCCAGAGUUCAUCAAAACACAAGACAAGUUGGUUGACUUAGAUCUUUCUAACAAUCAUAUCCAUGGUGUUGUGCCUAAUUGGUUCUGGAAGAGCAGCCUUUCAAGGGUAAACCUUUCUUUCAAUGUGAUUGAUUUUCCAAAACAACUUCCCUUAAAUGAUGCAAACUUCUUAUUUCCAAUGUUGACAGGAUUGGAUUUGAGAUCCUGUAACAUAAGUGCGUUUCCAGAGUUCUUAAAGAGUCAAAAAAAUUUAGAAGAAUUCGACGCAUCUUAUAACAAUUUGAGUGGCCCAAUUCCAAAUUGGUUAUGCAAUAUGAGUCUACUUUACACUUUCGAUGCAUCUUAUAACAAUUUGAGUGGCUCAAUUCCAAAUUGCUUGGUCAAUAUGAGUCAACUUGAAACUUUCGAUGUAUCUUAUAACAAUUUGAGUGGCCCAAUUCCAAAUUGCUUGGGCAAUAUGAGUGCUCUGAUUUUGUUGGGUUUGCAAGGAAAUAACUUCAGUGGAAUGUUACCAAAAUUUUCAACAGCAACCCAACUGCAAUUUCUGAAAGUUAGUGAGAAUAGAUUGGAAGGGAAAGCAAAGGCACGGCGGUGGUCACGCUGGUCGUGGUGGCGCGACGGCGAUCAGGGCCCUUUCGCUGCUGCUUUCUUGACCCUUUUUUUGCUUCUUUUUUUUUGCGAAAAAAACUGAAACCCCCCCUUCUCUUCAAUUUUUCUUUUUAAUCCCUCCAAAAUUGUCUUCUUCCUCUUUGUUUUUAGGUGACAGGGGAAGAAAAUCAUGGCCUAGGGAGCUGCCGGAGUAGCUGGAAGUGGCAGGAGCAUGCUUGGAUGCCGAUUGGGUGAUUUGACAAGUCCAGAAGGACCAAAAUGUAGAAGACACAAAAUAUUUGGGGUAAAAAUGUGAUUUGGGGAAAAUAUAGGGCCAAGAUGUAAUUUUUUGAAAUUUUAAGGGUCAAAGUGUAAUUUACAAAAUAUUAGGGGUCAAUAUAUAAUUUUUGAAAAAUUUAGGGGCUAAAAUGUAAUUUAUUUUUUUGUAUUUUUUCAAAGUUUUAUUAUUACUAUUAAUAUUUAAAACAUAAAUUAAAAAUGGACUAAGACAAUUCCAAUAUUAAAUCCUAAUGGGCCCAAUCAUUGGGCCCAUACGAGGCCGACCCGGCCCAAAAUUCUAACCGGGCAAAAUUUAGUGAUUACAGUUAUUUUUGUGCAAUCAAAAUUUGGACAUUUGCAUGCAAUGCCAAAGACUUAAGAUAUUUCAUACUAUCAUUUUUCCCGAUCCAAAGUUAAAGAUAUUAAAAAUUUUAAAUUAGAAUGUUAUUUAUAAUUUGAGAAUUUGAGAUAGAAGGUGAAUUAACACUUUGAUAAAUCAUAACAUAUUUAUAAGAUGGAUACUCAUUAACAAGUUGAUUUUAUAUUAUAAGUUAAAUUUUAUUUUUUUUGGUGUUAUAACAAAAUUACCUUAGAAGAUUACAUUGUAAUUUUUUUAUUUUAAAAAAUGAUGUAGAAAUAAUUAUGUAUAACAUAAAAAAUGAUAAAGUUUGGCCAAGUUUAAAAUAUUUGUAACAUAAUUUUUUCUACAAAGUCCAUACUUAAUAUAUAUAAUUUAAACUUAAAAUCUCGGUUGAAGUAUUAUCUUUGCUUAUUUUAUACGUAGUGACGGUUCCAAUAAGAUUUAAAGUACAUUAUUAUUACUAUAAAUUUGUCUUUUUUAAUGACUUAGAUAUAGAAGAUUAUUUAUAUAGACUAAGGAGUGGGCAAGAAAACUAAAACCUCGGCAUUAAUAAGAAAAAUGACAUCAAUAAUAUAUUAAAAUCUCAUUCUUCAAAAUCAAUAAUAUAUUAUUCUUUAAUAAUAUAUUAAAACGCAAAUUAAAUGUGAAUUUAACAACUUAUUUCUAAUACUAACAACAAAUAAUUUAUGCUAUAAAUUAUUUAUUAUUAGUAUUAUUAUUAUUAUCCCUUGCUGGAAAAGGUUAACCAAAAAGACUUAGCUAAAGUGGUGGAACAUUAUUUUGAUGCAGUAUUGACUGGGCAAAAAGACUUGGAAAUUGCGUGCUAUGCCAAACAUGAAAACUACACAUUUGUGUAUAAAUAAGUUGUAUGCCAAGCACAAUCCUUCUUCACACCCAACAAACAUGAACACUCUUCAUUUCCUUAUUUCACUCUUCCUCUUCUCAUGCGUCCUUUCUCUUGUCAUGUCUUUUUCACCUCCUCAAACUCAUCUCCCUAAGCAAUGCCUUGAUGAUCAGAGAGCUCCUCUCCUGCAAUUGCAGCGUCAUCUUUACUGUGCCCCUAAUUUUACUUUCUCUUCCAAAUUUGACCUCUGGGAUGUCAACACUGAUUGUUGUUCUUGGGAAGGAGUCACUUGUGAUGCUUAUGGUCAUGUCGUUGGCAUUGAUCUUAGCAAUAAAAACCUUUCAGGCAGGUUUCACCCCAUAUUCAAUCUCCAUCGUCUUCAACACCUUAAUCUUGCUGGAAACAACUUUAAUACCACUAUGUUUUCCCAUGGGUUUCACAAACUCCAAAAUCUAACCCAUCUCAAUCUUUCAAGCUCAUGUUUCCAUGGCCAAAUUCCAGUGGAGAUCUCAUACUUAACGAGGUUAGUGUCUCUUGAUCUAUCUAAUCAAGGUUCUUGUUAUUUGCGAUACUACGCCAUUCUUGACCCAUAUAGAGGCGUCUACACCUACAAUGAUCCAUUGCCUUACGAACUUCAACAGCCUCUUAAAUUAGAGAAUCCAAACUUCAAGACAUUAAUCAAGAAUUUGAGGUUUCUCACAGAGCUUUAUUUGGAUGGGGUAAACAUUUCAACUCAAAGUGCUAAAUGGUGUGAAACCACAUCUCUUGUACUUUCCAACCUGCGUGUGUUGAGUCUGUCAAACUGUGGUUUGAAAGGUCCAUUAUGUUCUUCACUCUCAAGACUCUCUUUUCUUUCCAAACUUAUCCUUGAUGGGAACCCAAUCUCUUAUUUACCUCCCAAUUUCUUGGAAAUUUCCUCUCGUUUGGUUUCUCUCAGUUUGAGGAACUGCUAUUUGAGUGGCCAUUUUCCAACUGAAAUUCUCUUAUCGCCAAAAAUUCAAAGCAUUGACAUUUCAUUGAACCACCAACUUAUGGGUCAGUUGCCAGAAUUUCCAGCAAACAAUGCAUUACUGAGUCUGUCACUUUAUUUUACAAAUUUCAGUGGAAAACUGCCUGAAUCGAUUGGUAAUCUUAAGUUCCUGACAAAUUUAGAGCUUUCUUAUUGCAAUUUUUUUGGACCUAUUCCAUCGUCAAUUACGAAUCUUAGUCACCUGGUCAACCUAUAUCUGGGAGGGAACAUGCUUUCUGGAUCAAUACAUUCUUCUUUAUUCACUCUUCCAUCAUUAAAGACCCUGUCUCUUGGAGAAAAUCACUUGGUUGGGAAAAUUGAUGAGUUCCCCAAUGCAUCUUCUUCUUUGAUUCAAGAACUAUAUAUAGGCAAUAAUUAUUUAACAGGACCAAUCCCAAAGUCAAUCCUUCAACUUCCAAGGCUUGAAUGGCUUUAUAUUGAAAGCAAUAGCUUCAGUUCCAUGAAGCUUGACAUGUUUGUCCAACUCAAGAACUUGAGGUAUCUGACUCUGUUCAACACAAGCUUGUUAAUUGAAAGCGACAGCAGAAGUCUUCCUUUUCCACAAUUAGAGAGCCUAACCCUAAGGUCAUGCAACCUUACUGAAUUUCCAGAAUUCAUUAAAAGGCAAGACAAGUUGGUUGACCUCGAUCUUUCUAACAGCCAUAUCCAUGGUUUUGUGCCCAAUUGGUUGUGGAAGAGCAGUCUUUCAUGGGUAGACCUUUCUUUCAAUGUGAUUGAUUUUCCAAAACAGCUUCCCUUGAAUGAUGCAAACUUCUCAUUUCCAAUGUUGAAAGAAUUGCGUUUGAGAUCCUGUAACAUAAGUGCGUUUCCAGAGUUCAUCAAAACACAAGACAAGUUAGUUGUGUUAGAUCUUUCUAACAACCAUAUCCAUGGUGUUGUGCCUAAUUGGUUGUGGAAUAGCUCUCUUUCAGGGGCAAACCUUUCUUUCAAUGUGAUUGAUUUUCCAAAACAGCUUCCCUUAAGUGAUUUAAACUUCUCUUUUUCAAUGUUGAGGGAAUUGUAUCUGGAAUCUUGUAACAUAAGAUCAUUUCCAGAGUUCUUAAAGAGUCAAGAAAAUUUAGAAUAUCUCGAUCUUUCAAAUAAUAAAAUAAGUGGUGCAAGUCCAAACUGGGUGUGGAAGAAAAGUUUGCGGUAUCUGUUUCUUGCAAAUAACCAUCUCUCAUCUUUGGACCAACUUUUACCCAAUCAGAGUUCAACUUCUUCACAAGACUCUUUCUAUUUCGACGCAUCUUAUAACAAUUUGAGUGGCCCAAUUCCAAAUUGGUUAUGCAAUAUGAGUCAACUUCGCGGUUUUGAUGCAUCUUAUAACAAUUUGAGUGGCUCAAUUCCAAAUUGCUUGAACAAUAUGAGUCAACUUGAAACUUUCGAUGUAUCCUAUAACAAUUUGAGUGGCCCAAUUCCAAAUUGCUUUGGCAAUAUGAGUGCUCUGAUUUGGUUGAUUUUGCAAGGAAAUAACUUCAGUGGAAUGUUACCAAAAUUUUCAAAAGCAACCCACGUAUAUAUUCUGAAAGUUAGUGAGAAUAGAUUGGAAGGGAAGUUGCCCAGAUCAUUAGCUGAAUGCACUCAGCUUGAAGUUUUGGACGUGGGAAACAACAAGAUGAAUGAUACAUUCCCUUUUUGGUUGGAGAAAUUGCCUUACUUGACGGUUCUAAUAUUGCGGGAAAACAGAUUUUAUGGUCAAAUUAAACAUAGAUUUGUUUUCCCAACUUUGGAUGUGUUGGACAUUGCUUCAAACCAGUUUUCUGGUGAACUAUCCAUUGAUUUCCUUCAACCCACUCGACUAAGGUCACUCAAAAUUGGUGGGAAUAAAUUGGAAGGGAAGUUGUCGAGAUCAUUAGCCAAUUGUACAGCACUUGAGGUUCUGGACCUCGGAAAUAAUAUGGUUCAUGAUACAUUCCCAUUUUGGCUAGAGAAGCUACCUUCCUUGAAGGUUCUCGUUUUGCGAGCAAACAGAUUCUACGGCACAAUUUCAAAAAUCGACACGGAGCGUGGGUUUCCAAAGCUACGCAUAUUGGACAUUGGUUCCAAUCAUUUUUCAGGUGACUUGUCCAUUGAAUUUUUGCAGAGUUUGAAGGCAAUGGCGAAGAUGACUAAGGACGAAAAGGUUAAGCGGGUUUACAUUGGGGACGUCUAUUAUAAAGAUUCUGUGACAAUUGUUAACAGGGGGGUUGAACUAUUUUACCAAAAAAUCUUAACUGUUCUUACUUGUCUUGACCUUUCCAACAAUAGUUUCCAUGGGAGAAUACCAGAAGAGAUACAAAUGCUGAGGUCACUCAGAGUGAUGAACUUAUCCAACAAUGGCUUUUCUGGUGAAAUCCCAUUAGCACUUGAAAAUCUAAAAGAUCUUGAAUCUUUGGAUCUCUCACAGAAUGAGCUGUCAGGGAAGAUUCCUGCACAACUUACAAGUUUAACUUUCUUAGCAGCAUUGAAUUUGUCUUACAACCUACUUGAAGGGAGCAUACCGCAAGGCAA